UGACUCGACAAAGUGAAGGGU
rnacentral:siRNA from 1 species